rnacentral:rRNA from 1 species
UGUAAGCGUAUACCAAAGUUGUUGCAGUUAAAACGCUCGUAGUCGGAAUUUGGCAGUUCCGGAUGUGUGCACGUCGUGUGCGCACUUCGCGGGGAUUGCUUUUGUGGUCUUGCGUACGAUGAGGCACGUUUAUUCGUGAACGUCGUUCCGCAGCCACUCUUUACUGUGAGAAAAUCAAAGUGCUCAAAGCAGGCAUUUGCCGUGAAUGUAUUAGCAUGGAAUAAUAGAAUAGGACUCGGUUCUAUUUUGUUGGUUUGUUGGGGCUGAGUAAUGAUUAAGAGGGACAGUUGGGGGCAUUUGUAUUUCGGCGCUAGAGGUGAAAUUCUUAGAUUGCCGAAAGACAAACUGCUGCGAAAGCGUCUGCCAAGGAUGUUUUCAUUGA